UACAGAGGUGGCAAGCGUUGUUCGGAAUUACUGGGCGUAAAGGGCGCGUAGGCGGCCUUCUAAGUCGGACGUGAAAUCCCCAGGCUUAACUUGGGAACUGCGUCCGAUACUGGAGGGCUUGAGUGCGGGAGAGGGAUGUGGAAUUCCAGGUGUAGCGGUGAAAUGCGUAGAUAUCUGGAGGAACACCGGUGGCGAAGGCGGCAUCCUGGACCGACACUGACGCUGAUGCGCGAAAGCGUGGGUAGCAAACAGG
rnacentral:rRNA from 1 species